GGGCCAAGCAGGAGUGAUUGGAAUGCCUGGAGUGGAAGGAGCCAGAGGACCAAAGGGUGAGAGAGGAAUCUGGGGGCUUCCUGGAGCAGAUGGUCCUGAAGGGCCAAAGGGAAAUCCAGGACCCAGUGGUAUGAUUGGACCAAUUGGUAUGCGUGGUAUUGAGGGCUUCCCAGGAGAGACUGGUAUGAGGGGAGACCAUGGCCAGCAGGGGCCUUCA